CCCUCUGAAUCCUGAGUUUAAAAGGCUUGUCAUGUGAACUGUGUGGGCAGUGUUCCCUCCUCUGUUCUCCAUGUCCUUUGGGAGUGGAGAAGGACAAUUAUUGUAUCCCUGAUAUGAUUCCACCAAAAUAGUGAGUGAUCUUUGGGUUCCUUUCUUUCUGUUUUUCUGCUCAGGGCAAUGUUGGUGUUGCCCCUGAUUCUUCAGGAGGGGAGCCUGUGGACAGAGCUGCAGCAGAGGAAGCUUCAUCUGGCACCAAGAGCUGCAGGAACAGUUCCCAGGAGCCUGAGGAGCCUGAUGCCAUCUGACCAACAUCUCCAGGAGGGUUGCCCUGCAUGGCAGGAAGAGACAGGGGAGAGCCUGUGACCAUCAGGCAGGUAGAACUCCUCUGUUUGUAGAUAUGUUUAUAGAUUUCUAUGGUUAUUUAUUAGUGGUUAUAGUUCCAUUUAUAGAUGAUAGUGUUCUGUUUUUAUGGGCAUAUAUUGAUAUAUCUGUAUAGUUAAAUGUGGAUAUGUACACAGUUAGAGAAGUGAUAUAAUAAUAUUUUAUUAUAAAUUUACAUUUAUAGAUUUUUCAGAGUUAGACAGAUUGCUGUUUGUGUAGGCCUAGGCUGCAUCUUUACCUCUUUCCCCCUCGGCUGCCUUUUUCACCUCUUGCUUUUCCCCCGGUGCCCCCUGUGUCCCCUGUCCCUGUGCUGGGUCCGAGCUGGCGGCCGGGCCGGGCGGAGCAGCACUUCCAGCCCCGGCUGUCCCUGGANAUUACAGAUUUUGGGGCAGGAUGUUGAAGCACUACAAGAUAGCCUUGUAGACAUAAACAUGAAGGU
rnacentral:lncRNA from 1 species